GACGUAGGGCGCGAGCGUUGUCCGGAUUUAUUGGGCGUAAAGAGCUCGUAGGCGGCUUGUCGCGUCGACUGUGAAAUCCCGCGGCUCAACUGCGGGUCUGCAGCCGAUACGGGCAGGCUAGAGUUCGGUAGGGGAGACUGGAAUUCCUGGUGUAGCGGUGAAAUGCGCAGAUAUCAGGAGGAACACCAAUAGCGAAGGCAGCUCGCUGGGACGUUACUGACACUGAGGCGCGAAAGCGUGGGGAGCGAACAGG
rnacentral:rRNA from 1 species